rnacentral:rRNA from 1 species
AUUGAACGCUGGCGGCAUGCCUUACACAUGCAAGUCGAACGGCAGCACGGGUGCUUGCACCUGGUGGCGAGUGGCGAACGGGUGAGUAAUACAUCGGAACAUGUCCUGUAGUGGGGGAUAGCCCGGCGAAAGCCGGAUUAAUACCGCAUACGAUCUACGGAUGAAAGCGGGGGACCUUCGGGCCUCGCGCUAUCGGGUUGGCCGAUGGCUGAUUAGCUAGUUGGUGGGGGAAAGGCCUACCAAGGCGACGAUCAGUAGCUGGUCUGAGAGGACGACCAGCCACACUGGGACUGAGACACGGCCCAGACUCCUACGGGAGGCAGCAGUGGGGAAUUUUGGACAAUGGGCGAAAGCCUGAUCCAGCAAUGCCGCGUGUGUGAAGAAGGCCUUCGGGUUGUAAAGCACUUUUGUCCGGAAAGAAAUCCUUGGCUCUAAUACAGUCGGGGGAUGACGGUACCGGAAGAAUAAGCACCGGCUAACUACGU